rnacentral:rRNA from 1 species
AGUGAACGCUGGCGGUAGGCCUAACACAUGCAAGUCGAACGGCAGCACAGUAAGAGCUUGCUCUUACGGGUGGCGAGUGGCGGACGGGUGAGGAAUACAUCGGAAUCUACUUUUUCGUGGGGGAUAACGUAGGGAAACUUACGCCAAUACCGCAUACGACCUACGGGUGAAAGCAGGGGAUCUUCGGACCUUGCGCGAUUGAAUGAGCCGAUGUCGGAUUAGCUAGUUGGCGGGGUAAAGGCCCACCAAGGCGACGAUCCGUAGCUGGUCUGAGAGGAUGAUCAGCCACACUGGAACUGAGACACGGUCCAGACUCCUACGGGAGGCAGCAGUGGGGAAUAUUGGACAAUGGGCGCAAGCCUGAUUCAGCCAUACCGCGUGGGUGAAGAAGGCCUUCGGGUUGUAAAGCCCUUUUGUUGGGAAAGAAAAGCAGCAGGUUAAUACCCCGCUGUUCUGACGGUACCCAAAGAAUAAGCACCGGCUAACUUCGUG